GGGGUCGAAGCGCAGGCCUCCGUAGAGCUCCGACAUGUACCGCGGCAUCGGCGGCCGAGGCUGCGAGGCCUGCUGCUGCUCCCGCUGAUUCGCCAUGGCGGUGGCGAACUGGUGAUUAUGAGAUCAGGCGAGCGUUUGUGGAUUUGUUGGCCGUCGUUGCCGUGGGGAAGGAGUAUUUAUACCUACAAACGACGAUGGUCACCAAACUAUGAAUCGGAUUGGAGAAGGCUACUCUGGGCUUUCAGUAGUAGAUCGGUGACUCGGUGGUGCAUUUCCGGGUUGGGAAGCGGAAGGAUAGUUUGGGUAUUUUCCGUUGGAUUUUGGCUUCACCGUGAGAUAUUCCUUUGUGCUUUUCUAAUACCGUACAAUCAUAAAUGUUUAUAUACACGUGCACACAUGAAUGUAUA
rnacentral:lncRNA from 1 species